GGAAACCCUGACGCAGCGACGCCGCGUGGAGGAUGAAGGUCUUCGGGUUGUAAACUCCUUUUCUUGGGGAAAAUGAUGAUGGUACUCAAGGAAUAAGCCACGGCUAACUCUGUGCCAGCAGCCGCGGUAAGACAGAGGUGGCGAGCGUUGUUCGGAAUUACUGGGCUUAAAGGGCGAGUAGGCGGUAGAGCAAGUCUGAGGUGGAAUCCUAUGGCUUAACCAUAGAACUGCCUUAGAAACUGCUUUACUUGAGUCAGUGAGGGGAGGGCGGAAUUCCUGGUGUAGCGGUGAAAUGCGUAGAUAUCAGGAGGAAGGCCUGUGGCGAAAGCGGCCCUCUGGCACUGUACUGACGCUGAGGCGCGAAAGCGUGGGGAGCAAACAGGAUUAGAUACCCUGGUAGUCCACGCCCUAAACGGUGGGCAUUAGGUGUAGGGCUCGUAAGGGUUCUGUGCCGAAGGGAAACCAUUAAAUGCCCCGCC
rnacentral:rRNA from 1 species